CCUACGGGUGGCAGCAGUGAGGAAUAUUGGUCAAUGGCCGCAAGGCUGAACCAGCCAAGCCGCGUGAAGGAUGACGGUCCUAUGGAUUGUAAACCUCUUUUGUAAGGGAGCAAAGGGCGCCACGUGUGGCGUUUUGCGAGUACCUGAAGAAAAAGCAUCGGCUAACUCCGUGCCAGCAGCCGCGGUAAUACGGAGGAUGCGAGCGUUAUCCGGAUUUAUUGGGUUUAAAGGGUGCGCAGGCGGAAUGUAAAGUCAGCGGUAAAAUUUCGGGGCUCAACCCCGUGGUGCCGUUGAAACUGGCGUUCUAGAGUGCGGGAGAAGUAGGCGGAAUGCGUGGUGUAGCGGUGAAAUGCAUAGAUAUCACGCAGAACUCCGAUUGCGAAGGCAGCAUACCGGCGCUCAACUGACGCUGAUGCACGAAAGCGUGGGUAUCGAACAGGAUUAGAUAACCUUGUAGUC
rnacentral:rRNA from 1 species